UACGUAGGGUGCAAGCGUUAAUCGGAAUACUGGGCGUAAAGCGUGCGCAGGCGGUUUUGUAAGUCUGUCGUGAAAGCCCCGGGCUCAACCUGGGAAUUGCGAUGGAGACUGCAAGGCUUGAAUCUGGCAGAGGGGGGGUAGAAUUCCACGUGUAGCAGUGAAAUGCGUAGAGAUGUGGAGGAACACCGAUGGCGAAGGCAGCCCCCCUGGGUCAAGAUUGACGCUCAUGCACGAAAGCGUGGGGGAGCAAACAGG
rnacentral:rRNA from 1 species